AAGAACUGACCUACGGAUAUGAUUCUCAGUGCAUGAUGGAAUUCCACUGGAGUUGGCUUCCAAACUCCCUUAUGACCAAUCUUCAUCCCAUAGAAUAGAUGGAUGAUAUCCUGUAGGAAGAUUAUGGCCUUUUCAUACUCCUCUAUCUUGACCCUGCUCAGUGCUGUAAUUGGAUGGCGAGAUGACAUAAGAUCAAACCAGUGAUCCACUUGCUCCAGGAACCACGCUGUAGUCAGGACCAACCUUCAUUUUCUCAAAGUGGCUUGGCUCGAUGGCUGCAGCUGAUAGAUGGGGAGCUACUUUUAAUGCCAUCCCUUCUUGAAAGGACAAUAAGUCCUUAAUAGGGACCACUGAAACCUCAUUGGAAGCGAGUUGUGUUUCCAGCCAACAUAAACACACAAGCAUGUGUUGCUACUCCUGUGUGACCUGGCAAAGUGACAUCACCAUAUAGUUUGCCUGUCAGCAUGUGCAGCUCAACACUUGGAGUGAUUGCCAUUUCAUCCAAGGACAGCACACACUCCCUUUCAAGGGUUCUGAUCGCUGGCAAGGGAAUCUGCAAUUCCUGUAGGGUCUUGUAACCAGUUGGACCGGAUGCAAAGCGAAUUUUUAAUGCUUUCUUAAUUGUUUCAUUGCUCCAUUUCAUACCUUUUGUGACCCAGGUAACUGGCUGAUGGCUCACUGGAAUGCUGACUGGCUGCUGACUGACUUGCUGCAUGCUGACUGGGUAGUGUCACCUGUCCCUGUCUCUCCUCUCUAGCAAUGUCCUCUAUUUCUUCACUGUCACUUUCCCUUCUCUGAGUGUCCUCAUUCUUUUUUUCCUCAACCUUUGAAACUGAUAGAGGCAAAAUACAUUG